rnacentral:lncRNA from 1 species
AAUCGCUAGGCUACUGGCUGGGCCCUUCUGCUGGAGAUUUGUCACCGUGUAAAGUAUUGUUCUCUUUUGUUUUUCCAGACUGGUGAGAGAAAGAGCGGGCUCUUGUACCUACUCACGGGACUGUUUCUGCAUUUCAUCCUGUGACCAAAGUGGAGGUUUUCCCACCCUCAGGAAUCAUCUCGGUGAACUAGAUCUGCAAUCAGUGUGCUCCAAUGGCAAGUAGAAGAGCAUGGCUGACUGACCCCGUUAGCACAGUGGAGCUAAUUAACACUUGAUGAUUUGAAUGGUAAAACCUUAUGUAUUCCAUGUCCAUUCUCUGCUCUUUGUGUGUUUACAUCUUUGAAGUUGGUA